UGCGGCAGAUUCGACAAGGCAACACCAAGCAGCGCAUCGAUGAGUUUGAAGCAAUGUGGGGACCCAAACUGUAUGCACUGUUCCAGAUGCGUUCUUGUCAAAGCAGCAUAAAGCAGAUGUAACAGGACGAUGCCUCCCUCCUCAUGAGGUCCCGGGUGACUGACCCACGGUGGGCUUUAGACUCAGGAUGUACAGAGUCAGCCCUGAGUCUUGAACACAUACACUCCCACACUCUGGUAUCUCCAUCAACCAGGGCACUUGCUGAUGCUUCUCCCCAGCGCCUGUUUGCUGUGCUGUGUGUUUCCUGCACUUCCUCACUGCCUUUCCCAGGAUCAGACCUCGGGAGAUGGACCAGGACGUGGGGUGUCUGUGGCCCUGUAGUCCUGAGCCAGCAUCUGCUGAGCUCGGCUUGAGAUGCCACUUUCUCAAAUGUGCUGGAAGGCCUAAGCUUCUGGAAAUACCACCGAGUCCCCUCCCCCAGCACCUUUUUCUGCAUGAUUGAUUAGCUCAUAAUAUGGAAUAGACGGGGAGAAUUUUCAAGACUUUACAACUUUUUAAAAAAAUGUAUGUGACUUAUGACUUAUCUUUGGCUUCUCUCUGAGAACAAACUUGGUAAACUUCCUUCCUUGUGAGUUCCUGUGGAAUCUGCAGAAAUCGAUGUGACAUACCCCCUCCUGUCUGGUCUGUUUGUAUAAUUGUAUAUAAAUACAGCAAUAAAUAUAUUCUACCGUC
rnacentral:lncRNA from 1 species